GCAAGGAGCAUGGGAAAAAACCGCAUCUCAGGACGAUGGCAGGACUUAUGAGCACGACGCUCACUCUCGAAUUUCUUAGUUGGGCCAAUUAAUUUCUAAAGUCAGCGACGUGCCCAGGACGUGCUCUCUGGCUGGCUGGCUGGCUGGCUGUGUGUGUCGUAAAUCUUAACGAACGAAAAGCAAAAUUCCUACGCACUCUCCAGUCCUCGCGAAUGCCGCUCAUAAAUAUACGUCUUCCAAAGGUAUCGAAGGCAAGGACACAAAAAGGAUACAAGAGGGCAGCCCCAGCCCAGAACCAUUCGCUUGUUAUUCCACCGUUUGUGGCCAUAAUAGCCAGUCGUGGCCGUUGCUGAAAUACGUCAAAAUAUUUGGCAUUCGAUGGGCCACGAUGGCACACGGAACAGAAUGUCAGCCAAGCAAAACACAUAAAUCUCGCCCCAGACUUGGACUGGGACGGGGCGGGACGGGACCAGGGGGGAUGCCUUCCCCCUCUUCAGAUAGGUGUUGAUAACGUUGUUCUCCGGUCCUCUCCGGCUGUACAUCUUAAUCGUAAUGCAAAAGUUGUCAACUUGAUAUGUAAACGAAAAACGUGCUGCAAAUA
rnacentral:sRNA from 1 species